GCAGGUGUUUGGGUCAUGGGGGUGGAUCCCUCAUGAAUGGCUUGGUGCCCUCCCUGCAGUAACGUGUGAGUUCUUGUUCUAUUAGUUCACACAAGACCUGGUUGUUUAAAAGAACCUGGCAUCUUUCUUCUUCUCUCUCCUGCUCCCUCUCUCACCAUGUGACACAUCAGCUCUGCUCCUUCUACCAUGACUGAAAGCUUCCUGAGGUCCUCACCAGAAGCAGAUGCUGGUACUGUGCUUCUCGCAGAGCCUGCAGAACUGUGAGCCAAAUAAACCUCUUUUCUUUAUGAAUUACCCAGUCUCAGGUAUUCCUUUACAGCAAUGCAAAAUGGACUGAUAGAGGGCUGAAGAACAAGAGUUUAAUUACCUGCACAACAUUCAGGACCUCCACCCACAGUCACUGACACCUUGAUACCUAACCUGCAGAGUCACUAAUGUUUUUCAUUAUGAGGUGUGCACAGAUGACAGAUGAAUAUGAAUCAAGAAUGGUGCCCAGUGGGCAGUGAAAAUGGCCCUUCCUGCGGGGAGUUACUGAUACACAACUUAAGGUUCCUGAGGUUGCUACCAUUGGCAGUCCAACUUCUCCUUUCAGAAACUUCUCACUGCAUAAUCAUCACAAGGACCUCCCUAGAGCUAUGAGCCCUCAAUGACACAGAAAUACACCAGCUGUGUGACCUCGGGGAAGAUACUGUACUUCUCUGGUCUCAGUUUCUACAUGCAAUACCAACCUCAAAAGUUUUGCGGAGGGAGCUGGGUGCAGUGGUUCAUGCCUGUAAUCUCAGCACUUUGGGAGGCCGAGGCGGGCGGAUAACCUGAGGUCAGUUCAAUACCAGCCUGGCCAAUAUGAUAAAACCAAGUCUCUACUAAAAAUAUGAAAGUUAGCCGGGUAUGGUGCCAGGCGCCUGUAAUUCCAGCUACUCAGGAGGCUGAGGCAGGAGAAUCACUUGAACCCAGAGGCAGAGGUUGCAGUGAGCCAAGAUCGUGCCACUGCACUCCAGCCUGGGUGAUAGAGCAAGACUCAGUCUCAUAAAAAAAAAAAGAAAGUUUUGGGAGGGUGAACGGGUUAAGGUAUAGAGUGUGUCACACAGCUUGGCUCCUGAGAAGCAUUUAAUAAAUAAUAGAGCAAGGAGAAG
rnacentral:lncRNA from 1 species